CCUACGGGAGGCAGCAGUGGGGAAUUUUGGACAAUGGGCGCAAGCCUGAUCCAGCCAUGCCGCGUGCGGGAAGAAGGCCUUCGGGUUGUAAACCGCUUUUGUCAGGGAAGAAAAGGUUCUGGUUAAUACCUGGGACUCAUGACGGUACCUGAAGAAUAAGCACCGGCUAACUACGUGCCAGCAGCCGCGGUAAUACGUAGGGUGCAAGCGUUAAUCGGAAUUACUGGGCGUAACGCGUGCGCAGGCGGUUAUGCAAGACAGAGGUGAAAUCCCCGGGCUCAACCUGGGAAUUGCCUUUGUGACUGCAUAGCUAGAGUACGGUAGAGGGGGAUGGAAUUCCGCGUGUAGCAGUGAAAUGCGUAGAUAUGCGGAGGAACACCGAUGGCGAAGGCAAUCCCCUGGACCUGUACUGACGCUCAUGCACGAAAGCGUGGGGAGCAAACAGGAUUAGAUACCCUGGUAGUCCACGCCCUAAACGAUGUCAACUGGUUGUUGGGAGGGUUUCUUCUCAGUAACGUAGCUAACGCGUGAAGUUGACCGCCUGGGGAGUACGGCCGCAAGGUUGAAACUCAAAGAGUAGUGCGUGNGAGAGCGACGACGACGACGACGGAGGAGGAGG
rnacentral:rRNA from 1 species